CGGGUGGAAAGACUGUGGCAGUAUCCCACAGUGGAGAUAGUCUAGAGUAGGAGGGGAAGAAAAGAGACAAAGUGUGUGGACAGAGCUAAGCUGCCUUACACGUGUAUAUGUAAUUAUAGGUAUUGGUGAUGAGAAAUAAUGUUAUCACAGCCAUCACCAUUUGCAAGGGAGAGAGCGGAGAAAUGUUACAUAUAGAAUAUCAGAAAAUCAGUCACAUACACAAAAAAAUAUAUUAUCAGUAUUAUCUGUACGGACAUAAUGGCAGAGGCCAAUGUUAAUUAUGAAAGAAUGAAAGGAAGGAUGUAACCUACCUUUUAUGCCCGCGCUUAGUGUUUGUAUGAGCCGUUGAAAUAAAUUGCAUUUUAUAAGUGUAGGAAUGCGGCCAUCAAAUCCUGCUUACUAAACAGGCCUAUUCUGGUGUGUUCUUCUGUUCCAACUGGCUGAAUGUGAUACAUUUUUGUGUUUGUAGUCCCGAACUGCAUACUACAAAAAUCUAACCGCAGUUUAAGCGAACACAACGUUAGCUAGCAUGUCAAACAGGGCUAAUCAGAGUCUUUCCACGGCUCCGGGGCUAUUAAAUCAGCAGGAGAAUGUAAAAUCGCACAUCUGGCUGAUACAACUAUAAAAUAGCAAGGUGACCAGUAAAACUACAGCAGAUGACUACCCUUGGCUAAUUAAAAAAAUAAACUUACUUUAAGAUGCUUCUUCAGGUUGGAGGUGGAGUCUUUGGACCCUGAAAGGAGGUUGGUUGCGGUCAAGCAGAGGUUGCACUGCACAGUUAUAUUACGUUCUCCCUUCUCUUUCUUUAACAUGAAAUGCUGUUAGAAUUUCCAGGAUAGAAAAGCAUUCCUGCCCUGGCUCUGUUGUGCCGGCUCUGGCACCUGCUCCUCUUCCGACUCCAUUAGCAGCUACUGAUCACGCAAAUAGCUAAUUUUCAUUCGUUUUCAUGUUGGGGAUUCUGGGAAAUGCAUCAAGUUGCCUUAAUUUAUUUAGAGAGUGAAUAAACUUGUGAAACAGAGAAGUACCGUCAUGUAAUCCAUUGAUUUCAACAAUGUAACUGUAUUCUGAAUACCAUCUAUUUAAAUUGUAACUGUAACGGAAUACAGUUUUUUGUAUUCUAAAUACGUAAUGCCGGUACAUGUAUUCCGUUACUCCCCAACACUGUGCACAAUAUACAUGUAACUUGAUACUUAGGAAACUUGAUACACUCGAUCACUACAACAUUAUUUAGAUGUAUUCCAAAUAUCAUCUAUAGGGGGCACUAUAACUGGCUCAUUUCAAGAAUCGUUUCAUGUAAAAAUGUGAAUACAUGCAAACAUAGCUGUUUGUUUGUUUUUUGUUUGUUUUUGUAGAAUAAAUGGGCAGAAACCAUCUACAUUAAGGGUUGCAUGACGGCUCUGGAGGACUGGCUACCACGGAAUAUUUACAUCGUAGCUGGAGUCUUCAUGGUCAUCUCACUGCUACAGAUGGUGGGCAUAUACCUGUCACGGACUUUGAUUGGAGACAUUGAGAAGGUCAAGUUGAGCUCUGAGCACUGAGGUCUCUCGUGGAUGAGAGGUCAAGUUGAGCUCUUACUGAGGUCUCUCAAGUGGAUGAGGAGGACAACAUUAAGGCCAUGGGACUGGGCAAGGCUUGCCUCAAAUACCCUCAUCUUGACAAUUUCAAUAUGUGCCCUUUUCAUGAAUGUAGAAGAGGGAUGAAGGCACCACCAAGGAGUUGUCUGGCUUUUGUCUGGCUUCGGUGUUACCAUGCAUUCAUAUUUUUUACAUCAUGUUGGGUUUUUAGAUUCUUUUACAAAUGAGACUUGCUGACACCAAGGAUUCCAUUCACAGACUUUCACUUUGAACUGUGUACAUAAUUGUCUGUUAUUUUUGUGAAAACACCUUUACAUAUUUUUUCAGUCAAAUUUCAGUCCAGUAUUUUGCCUUAUUUUAAGGCAAAAUCACAAAACAGUUUGAAUAUUCUCUAUUUUUGGAUGUUCAGGCAACCUAAACAUAAGUUUACAAGCCUCCUUAAUUAAUUAAAACUAUGGAAGCUAAGAUUUUUUCCCCAACAUUUUUUGUAUCAACUGUAGCUUUGCAAGGCAUAGCAUAACUUUAGACAGUGAAAUAUGACUUUGAACUGGUUACAUCUGUCCUGCUGUAAAUCCACAUACUGUUUCCUCCACCACUAAUGGCAACCCUGGUAAAGAUGAGUGAAAGGGCAAUACAAAUGUCACCUUUUUGGUGAUUCUGACUGUUGAAAGUUGAGAAAAAUCCUUCAUCAAGAAAAAAUUCAAUUGAAUAAAACCAUAUCUUGCUCAACUUUACGAGGGGUUCCAAUAAUUGUGGAAGUGACCAUUUUGUACUUCUGUAUUACCAUGUGCCUUUAAAAAAACAUAUUAGGGACUGAGCUUUUAUACCUUUGACAUUUUACAAGAGUUUUACAAAUGAAAAAAAAAAUAAAGUUUGCUCUCCUGUUUUCUAA